GGUGAAAACAGUUUAUUAGAAUGAUAAAGCAACACGUUGCCAGGUUGCCAGGGGUGAAAACAGUUUAUUAGAAUGAUAAAGCAACACUUUGCCAGGGGUGAAAACAGUUUAUUAGAAUGAUAAAGCAACACUUUGCCAGGGGUGAAAACAGUUUAUUAGAAUGAUAAAGCAACACUUUGCCAGGGGUGAAAACAGUUUAUUAGAAUGAUAAAGCAACACAUUGCCAGGUUGCCAGGGGUGAAAACAGUUUAUUAGAAUGAUAAAGCAACACUUUGCCAGGGGUGAAAACAGUUUAUUAGAAUGAUAAAGCAACACUUUGCCAGGGGUGAAAACAGUUUAUUAGAAUGAUAAAGCAACACAUUGCCAGGUUGCCAGGGGUGGAAACAGUUUAUCUGGUGUUCAACGGAGAGGAGGAGAUAUCUAAAGAGUGGUCAAAUAUCACAAAAAAAUAUGUAAAGUGUGAAUAUUACUGAAAAGGUUGGCCCACAUGAAAACAUCAGGAAAUGCCCCUCCAGGGCCCAACACAGAACAGAACAACAGCAUG